AGCGAACGCUGGCGGCGUGCCUAACACAUACAAGUCGAACGUGAAAAGGGAAACCUGAGUACAGUGGCGUACGGGUGAGUAACGCGUAGGUAAUCUACCCCAGAAUCUGGAAUAACCUGCCGAAAGGCGGGCUAAUACUGGAUAGAGCGAGGGAACUCGUAAGAGAGUUUUUCGGGAAAGGGAGCCCGCAAGGGCCUUCGUUCUGGGAUGAGCCUGCGUCUCAUUAGCUAGUUGGUAAGGUAACGGCUUACCAAGGCGAUGAUGAGUAGCUGGUCUGAGAGGAUGAUCAGCCACACUGGAACUGAAACACGGUCCAGACUCCUACGGGAGGCAGCAGUGGGGAAUCUUGCGCAGUGGACGAAAGUCUGACGCAGCCACGCCGCGUGAGUGAAGAAGGCCUUCGGGUUGUAAAGCUCUGUCGGAUGGGACGAACAUCUUCAUAGUGAAUAGCUAUGAGGACUGACGGUACCAUCAAAGGAAGCACCGGCUAACUCCGUG
rnacentral:rRNA from 1 species